rnacentral:rRNA from 1 species
CUACGGGUUGCUGCAGUGAGGAAUAUUGCACAAUGGGGGGAACCCUGAUGCAGCAACGCCGCGUGGAGGAUGACGCAUUUCGGUGUGUAAACUCCUUUUAUAUGUCAAGAAAAUGACGGUAGCAUAUGAAUAAGCACCGGCUAACUCCGUGCCAGCAGCCGCGGUAAUACGGAGGGUGCAGGCGUUACUCGGAAUCACUGGGCGUAAAGGACGCGUAGGCGGGUUGGAAAGUCAGGUGUGAAAUCCUACAGCUUAACUGUAGAACUGCACUUGAAACUUCUAAUCUAGAGUAUGGGAGGGGGAGAUGGAAUUAGUGGUGUAGGGGUAAAAUCCGUAGAUAUCACGAGGAAUACCUAAAGCGAAGGCGAUCUCCUGGAACAUUACUGACGCUAAGGCGUGAAAGCGUGGGGAGCAAACAGGAUUAGAUACCCGGGUAGUC